NNNNNNNNGGAAGGGAAGGGAAGGGAAGGGAAGGGAAGGGAAGGGAAGGGAAGGGAAGGAAGAGGUCACCACGCUAGCACCCCAGAACAGGGCAUCUGGGUGGAGCCAGAUCAGUUUAUUCAGACAUUUUUGUUUUCGCAGGAAGAGAUUCUUUUGGGAAGGGGCCCUAGGUGAGAUGUCCUGUACUGGAAACAACCACAAGUCAGACUAAGGCUCUUAGCUUCCAAUUAGGUUGGUUUCAGUCUUUUAUAUGAAGUAUCUAAUUUUUACCAGGAGAAUGAUUGUCCAGAUCUUAAUCUUUUCUAAAGAUUAGUUUCCUGUCCUGGUUUCAAUUUCAGUGGAGUUUACCCUACCUUUUCCUUGUUACUUGUGCCAGGUAUGUAUGGAGGAGAAAGCAGUGUGUGUUUAUACAUAUAUGUGUGUAUAUGUAUAUAUACAUAUGUACGUGUAUAUACAUAAGUAUGUAUAUACAUAUACAUGUGUGUAUACACACACACACACACACACAUCUCUCUCUAUAUAUAUAUCAGUAGAAUGGAGCAGGUUCUUAUGCCUAUAUGCAGCUGAUUCAGACAUUAAUUACAUAACCAUACAAAUGUGCUUGACUUUGGAGGGCCUCGUCCUGCCCACAGACAUUGAGAAAGUACAACCCUAUUAUUGCUCAGUACAACCUAUCAAGACCAAGACCCCCCGUAUUUCCUCCACGAAUUAUCUUUCACCAAAAUUUAAAAUGUCCAUACUGCUGUCUGUUACUAAUAAAAACAGCCUACCUCGUGUAAUUAAACAGUCGAAUCUGACUACAUGCCGAUUUUAUUGGUAGUGACUGUGGCACAUUA
ensembl:lincRNA Gm20554 predicted gene, 20554